GAUCCCUGACCUGAGUAGAGUGGCAUCUGGUUGAUGGUGCUCAUCUCAUAUUAACCAGUGACAAAGCAACUACUUGUUCAUCCCAGCUUGGCUUUUGGUCUGUGCCCAGGCCUGGUUCGUGCCUUGGGUACAUGG
rnacentral:snoRNA from 1 species